AGAGUUUGAUCCUGGCUCAGGAUGAACGCUAGCGGCAGGCUUAACACAUGCAAGUCGAGGGGCAGCAUAAUGGAUAGCAAUAUCUAUGGUGGCGACCGGCGCACGGGUGCGUAACGCGUAUGCAACCUACCUUUAACAGGGGGAUAACACUGAGAAAUUGGUACUAAUACCCCAUAAUAUCAUAGAAGGCAUCUUUUAUGGUUGAAAAUUCCGAUGGUUAGAGAGUGGGC
rnacentral:rRNA from 1 species